GAAUGAAAGAUUAUGAGUGAUAAUUACGGGGGGGAGGAUUACCAAAGAUAUAAUCGACAAGCAAAAGAAAGACAAGAGCAUUUACGCAUAAGAAAUAGCCUACAGGAAUGAAAAAAAGGUAUUGCAGGUCCAAGAAAAAAUAAAGGAAGAAAAAUUCAAAUUUAAAUAGUAAGGAGACCAAUGAUAAUACCAAUGGGAGCCUAUGAGAUUGAGUGCCAGAAGUACCAAUUACAAUACAAAUGGGAGCAGUAAGAGACCGAACUACAAGUGUGGCACCAUUACCUAUUUUUAAAAGGUUGGUC
rnacentral:lncRNA from 1 species